rnacentral:rRNA from 1 species
CCAGAGAACUUAGCAGAGAUGCUUUGGUGGCCCUUCGGGGAACUCUGAGACAGGUGCUGCAUGGCUGUCGUCAGCUCGUGUUGUGAAAUGUUGGGUUAAGUCCCGCAACGAGCGCAACCCUUAUCCUUUGUUGCCAGCGGUUAGGCCGGGAACUCAAAGGAGACUGCCAGUGAUAAACUGGAGGAAGGUGGGGAUGACGUCAAGUCAUCAUGGCCCUUACGAGUAGGGCUACACACGUGCUACAAUGGCGCAUACAAAGAGAAGCGACCUCGCGAGAGCAAGCGGACCUCAUAAAGUGCGUCGUAGUCCGGAUUGGAGUCUGCAACUCGACUCCAUGAAGUCGGAAUCGCUAGUAAUCGUGGAUCAGAAUACCACGGUCGAAUACGUUCCCGGGCCUUGUACACACCGCCCGUCACACCAUGGGAGUGGGUUGCAAAAGAAGUAGGUAGCUUAACCUUCGGGAGGGCGCUUACCACUUUGUGAUUCAUGACUGGGGUGAAGUCGUAACAAGGUAAGCGUAGUGCU